GACGUCUACGUAGUUUGAUCAUGGCUCGAGGAUGAACGCUAGCGGGAGGCCUAAUACAUGCAAGUCGAGCGGCAGCUAGAGAUUCGUCUUUAGUGAGAGCGGCGCGACGGGUGAGUAACGCGUACGAAAUCUACCGAUAGGUUGGGGAUACGACCCCGGGAAACUGGGAGUAAUCCGCCAUAUCUUUAUGAGACGGCAUUCGUUUUAAUAAAGAAAGCUGAGGCGACUAUUGAUGAUCGUGCGUCUGAUUAGGUAGUUGGUAGGGUAACGGCCUACCAAGCCGACGAUCAGUAGGGGGCGUGAGAGCGUGACCCCCCCACACGGGUACUGAGACACGGACCCGACUCCUACGGGAGGCAGCAGUAAGGAAUAUUGGUCAAUGGGCGAAAGCCUGAACCAGCCAUCCCGCGUGCAGGAUGAAUGCCCUAUGGGUUGUAAACUGCUUUUAUCUGGGAAUAAACCACUCUAUUUAUGGGGUGUUGAAGGUACCAGAAGAAUAAGCACCGGCUAACUCCGUG
rnacentral:rRNA from 1 species